AUACAGAGGGCCCGAGCGUUAAUCGGAAUCACUGGGCUUAAAGAGUUCGUAGGCGGUCUUGUAAGUAUCUUGUGAAAUCCCACGGCUCAACCGUGGAAUUGCUCGGUAAACUGCAAGACUUGAGUAUGGUAGAGGCUGUCGGAACUCUAGGUGGAGCGGUGAAAUGCGUAGAUAUCUAGAGGAACACCAAAGGCGAAGGCAGACAGCUGGGCCAUUACUGACGCUGAGGAACGAAAGCGUGGGUAGCGAACGGGAUUAGAAACCCUAGUAGUCC
rnacentral:rRNA from 1 species